GGGGAAUAUUGCGCAAUGGGCGAAAGCCUGACGCAGCGACGCCGCGUGAGGGAUGACGGCCUUCGGGUCGUAAACCUCUGUCAGGAGGGAAGACCCGCCAUGGUGCUAAUCAGCCAUGGUCUGACGGUCCCUCCAACGGAAGCACCGGCUAACUCCUGCCCAGCAGCCGCGGUAAUACGAAGGGUGCAAGCGUUAAUCGGAAUUACUGGGCGUAAAGCGCGCGUAGGUGGUUCGUUAAGUUGGAUGUGAAAGCCCCGGGCUCAACCUGGGAACUGCAUCCAAAACUGGCGAGCUAGAGUAUGGCAGAGGGUGGUGGAAUUUCCUGUGUAGCGGUGAAAUGCGUAGAUAUAGGAAGGAACACCACUGGCGAAGGCGACCACCUGGGCUAAUACUGACACUGAGGUGCGAAAGCGUGGGGAGCAAACA
rnacentral:rRNA from 1 species